GAUGAAGAACGUAGCAAAAUGCGAUACUUGGUGUGAAUUGCAGAAUCCCGUGAACCAUCGAGUCUUUGAACGCAAGUUGCGCCCGAAGCCUCGGCUAAGGGCACGUCUGCCUGGGCGUCACGCAUCGCGUCUCCCCCAAACCGCCAAGGCGGAGGGGAAGGAAGAUGGCUUCCCGUGCCUCACCCGGGCGCGGUUGGCCUAAAUUUGGAGCCCGCGGCACUUAGCUCUCGCGGCGAUAGGUGGUGAACAAGGCCUUGGCCGUGCAAACAACCCGCUGCGAAGCUCUAUGUCACGUGCGCUCGUCGGACCCUUUGAAGUUGCCUUCGGUGACUUAAAACCUUUGCGACCCCAGGUCAGGCGGGGCUACCCGCUGAAUUUAAGCAUAUCAAUAAGCGGAGGA
rnacentral:misc_RNA from 1 species